AUUGAACGCUGGCGGCAGGCCUAACACAUGCAAGUCGAACGGUAACAGAAAGCAGCUUGCUGCUUUGCUGACGAGUGGCGGACGGGUGAGUAAUGUCUGGGAAACUGCCUGAUGGAGGGGGAUAACUACUGGAAACGGUAGCUAAUACCGCAUAACGUCGCAAGACCAAAGAGGGGGACCUUCGGGCCUCUUGCCAUCGGAUGUGCCCAGAUGGGAUUAGCUUGUUGGUGGGGUAACGGCUCACCAAGGCGACGAUCCCUAGCUGGUCUGAGAGGAUGACCAGCCACACUGGAACUGAGACACGGUCCAGACUC
rnacentral:rRNA from 1 species